rnacentral:misc_RNA from 1 species
GGAGGAGGCUUUAGCAGGGGUUAUGAUUUUGGAGGUGGUUAUGGUGGCUCUGGUGAGGGUUAUGGUGGAUAUGGCAGUGGCAGUGGUGCUGGUGGAUCUGGCAGUGGCUAUGGAGGUAGCUAUGACACUGGCCUCGGAGGUGGGUAUGGUGGUAGCAGUGGAGGUUCUUUCUACGGAAGUAGAGGAUAUGGUGGCGCUGGCAUGGGUAGAUACCACCCCUAUGGGAGGUAGGAAAAAAAAAGGUUAUGGAAAGAUUUUUGGGAUUAUAAAGUGCAACGGCCAAGUGAAGUUGCCGCAACUGUAGUAUUUGAGCUAGUUGCCAAUUCAGUAGCUUGUGCUCAGGUUAUUUAAGCUUGUCAAGGUGGUGCCUGGAAUUUGUCCACUCAAUGUUCAAUCAUCCUCUCUCUCC